rnacentral:rRNA from 1 species
UAGGGAAUCUUCCGCAAUGGGCGAAAGCCUGACGGAGCAACGCCGCGUGAGUGAUGAAGGUCUUCGGAUCGUAAAACUCUGUUAUUAGGGAAGAACAAAUGUGUAAGUAACUAUGCACGUCUUGACGGUACCUAAUCAGAAAGCCACGGCUAACUACGUGCCAGCAGCCGCGGUAAUACGUAGGUGGCAAGCGUUAUCCGGAAUUAUUGGGCGUAAAUCGCGCGUAGGCGGUUUUUUAAGUCUGAUGUGAAAGCCCACGGCUCAACCGUGGAGGGUCAUUGGAAACUGGAAAACUUGAGUGCAGAAGAGGAAAGUGGAAUUCCAUGUGUAGCGGUGAAAUGCGCAGAGAUAUGGAGGAACACCAGUGGAGAAGGCGACUUUCUGGUCUGUAACUGACGCUGAUGUGCGAAAGCGUGGGGAUCAAACAGG